AGAAGAGAGAAAAGAUUCCGUUGAAAAAGGGAUUCCUGCACGAAUUGGACGAUAACUUCCGGGUUCAAAGGCGUGCUCGAAACAUCGACCAGCACCGCCUGUAAUCACGAUUCGAUUUCACCUCGUUUUACGAACUUAUCUUUCCCCCACUCGAGACGAACUCUUUUACUCCGAACGAAAUAGGUGAACCAGUACAGGUAAAAUAAUACGAUUCACCUUAAAUUCUACGAAACUUGCUUUUACAUUUUCACUUGAGAAAUGAUCAUCGAAAUACGAUGAGAAUCUUAUCAAGUUCGAUGAAACGAAUCGUACGAUGAUGAUAUAAAACAAAUCAAAUUAUUUCCAAAAUAAUACUUUAUAAAAAUGUAACCUUAAAAGAAAUGCAAAAUAAAUAAGAAAAGAAAAAAUUAUUGUAUGAAUAAUUGAUCAGAAGUGGCCUCUUUCGUCAUUUUGAAACAAAAUAGAGAUAUAAUAUAUUCGAGGAGAUAUUAUCAAAAGUGCAAAAUCAUUUCGAUCGUGUAGCAUUCGCGAUUUAAGCAACCGUUGGCUACCAACGAAAGAAAGAGUGAGAGAGAGAGAGAGAGAGAAAAGAAGAAUAAAAAAGUAUGAAAAGGACGAAGAGAGGACGACGAAGAAGAAGGAGUUUAAUCCGAGGAAGGAGACGAUACUUUGAAAGUGGUAGGGAGUAAGUAAGUAAGUAAGGAAGGAAGGAAGAAGAAGAAGAAGAAAAGCAUGCACAGCUGCAAACUCUGACGGCGUGCUCGUGCCGCGCGACGAGCCACGAUCGUGUGCUUACCCGUGAUUGUUCGAGCAAAGCCAAGUGAAGCCAAGCCAAGCCAAGCCAAGUGAAGUGAAGUCAAGCCAAGCCGAGCCAAAGCAAAGGCAAGGCAAGGCAAGCCGAGCCAAGUUAUGCCAAGCCGACCAAAAGACGACGAACAAGAAGACACAACUUGGGAUGACCAGAGAGAGAGAGAGAGAGAAAAGGAAUGGAAAGUAGCCGAGAGUGAAAAAGAGAAAAGAUACACCGGUGAGCGGUGCAAUUGCAACCGUUGCUGUAUUCCUGCGUUUGCCUUCUUGCCCCUUCUCCGUCUUUUUCUUAACAGUCUUGAAAAGGAACGAGAAGAUUAAACGAAGAGAGAGAGAAAGAGAGAAGAAGAAAAUACCCCUAACUCGAACUAUACAUGUUUUUAUAUUUUGACGAUGGGGCAGUGAGAACAGCAACAGAGGCAACUGAAGAAACGGCUGUUCAGCAUCAUUCUUGCAAACGGGAUCCUUACAAGAAUGAAGUAAGCAUUGUGGAAAGGCAACUGCAUCAGAUCUCGUCCUUUUCCUUAGUUACUAUGAAUACAUGAGAAAAAAGCAGAAGGUGAAGAA
rnacentral:lncRNA from 1 species